AUUGAACGCUGGCGGCAGGCCUAACACAUGCAAGUCGAACGAGUGGCGGACGGGUGAGUCAUGUCUGGGAAACUGCCUGAUGGUGGGGGAUAACUACUGGAAACGGUAGCUAAUACCGCAUACCAUCAGAUGUGCCCAGAUGGGAUUAGCUAGUUGGUGGGGUAACGGCUAACCAAGGCGACGAUCCCUAGCUGGUCGGAGCGGAUGACGAGCAACACUGGAACUGAGACACGGUCCGGACUCCUACGUGAGGCAGCAGUGGGUAAUAGUGCACAAUGGGCGAAAGCCUGAUGCAGCCAUGCCGCGUGUAUGAAGAAGGCCUUCGGGUUGUAAAGUACGUUCAGCGGUGAGGCGUUACCCGCAGAAGAAGCACCGGCUAACUCCGUGCCAGCAGCCGCGGUAAUAC
rnacentral:rRNA from 1 species